rnacentral:rRNA from 1 species
GACGAACGCUGGCGGCGUGCCUAAUACAUGCAAGUAGAACGCUGAAGGAGGAGCUUGCUUCUCUGGAUGAGUUGCGAACGGGUGAGUAACGCGUAGGUAACCUGCCUGGUAGCGGGGGAUAACUAUUGGAAACGAUAGCUAAUACCGCAUAAUAGCAGUUAUUGCAUGAUAACUGUUUGAAAGGUGCAAUUGCACCACUACCAGAUGGACCUGCGUUGUAUUAGCUAGUUGGUGGGGUAACGGCUCACCAAGGCGACGAUACAUAGCCGACCUGAGAGGGUGAUCGGCCACACUGGGACUGAGACACGGCCCAGACUCCUACGGGAGGCAGCAGUAGGGAAUCUUCGGAAAUGGACGGAAGUCUGACCGAGCAACGCCGCGUGAGUGAAGAAGGUUUUCGGAUCGUAAAGCUCUGUUGUAAGAGAAGAACGAGUGUGAGAGUGGAAAGUUCACACUGUGACGGUAUCUUACCAGAAAGGGACGGCUAACUACGUG